rnacentral:rRNA from 1 species
GAUGAACGCUGGCGGCGUGCUUAACACAUGCAAGUCGAACGAACAGACGAGGAUCUUGCUCCUCUCACGUUAGCGGCGGACGGGUGAGUAACACGUGGAUAACCUACCUAUAAGACUGGGAUAACUUCGGGAAACCGGAUCUAAUACCGGAUAAUAUAUUGAACCGCAUGGUUCAUUAGUGAAAGCCGGUUUUGCUGUCACUUAUAGAUGGUUCCGCGCUGCAUGAGCUAGUUGGUACGGUAACGGCUUACCAAGGCAACGAUGCGUAGCCGACCUGAGAGGGGGAUCGGCCACACUGGAACUGAGACACGGUCCAGACUCCUACGGGAGGCAGCAGUAGGGAAUGUUCGGCAAUGGGCGAAAGCUUGACGGAGCAACGCCGCGUGAGUGAUGAAGGUCUUCGGAUCGUAAAGCUCUGUUAUGGGGGAAGAACAGAUGUGUACGUAAACAAGCACGUCUUGACGGUACCUGAUCAGAAAGCCACGGCUAACUACGUG